CAGUAAUGCAUGGAGCUGACCAAUACUAAUCGGUCGAGGGCUUAUCCUA
rnacentral:rRNA from 1 species